rnacentral:rRNA from 1 species
UACGUAGCAGCGAGCGUUGUUCGGAAUUACUGGGCGUAAAGAGUGUGUAGGCGGUGCUCCAAGUCUGUUGUGAAAUCUCCCGGCUUAACUGGGAGGGUGCGGCGGAAACUAGAGUGCUAGAGGGUGGGAGAGGUAAGCGGAAUUCCUGGUGUAGCGGUGAAAUGCGUAGAUAUCAGGAGGAACACCUGUGGUGUAGACAGCUUACUGGACCACUUCUGACGCUGAGACACGAAAGCGUGGGUAGCAAACAGG